CAUCGCAUCUAUAUAUGAUUUCCUUGAGCUCAAUGGGCCAAGCUUGUAAGCUAAUAUUGGAGGCUGUAUCGGUUCGAAGAAACAUAGUGGAAUUAGUCGGCCAUGAUUCGAACUUGAGAUUUCUAUACUCUAAUAUCGUUCGACUCAAGUUUUUUAACCUACAUUGUUUUCUCGUUUCUUUCUAUAGAUACCAGCUAACGUGCUUUGAUCCUUUUUGCUCACUAAUUUUGUGCUAAUCUCUCGUUGUAAUUCGACAGGAUUUGUCGGCACAAUUUCUUUAGCAUCAUGUUGCUUAAUUUGCGCAGUUAUGCAUGUAGCCGACAAGGAAAAACUAUCUAAAAAAAUAUGAAAAUACUCCCUCCGUCCCAAAUUAUUAGUCGUUUUAGCUUUUCU
rnacentral:lncRNA from 1 species